rnacentral:rRNA from 1 species
ACGCUCGACACCUACGGGGGGCAGCAGUGGGGAAUAUUGCACAAUGGGGGAAACCCUGAUGCAGCGACGCCGCGUGAGCGAAGAAGUAUCUCGGUAUGUAAAGCUCUAUCAGCAGGGAAGAAGAUGACGGUACCUGACUAAGAAGCACCGGCUAAAUACGUGCCUGCAGCCGCGGUAAUCUGAGGCGGGCUGGCAAGGC